UGGUUAUUAAUGUGUCACACAGGUGUUUAGUAAUUAUAAUGUGCCACACAGGUGUUUAGUAAUGAUAAUGUGCCACAUAGGUAUUUAGUAAUUAUAUUGUGCCACACAGGUGUUUAGUACUGAUGGAAUGGUCAUUAAUGUGCCACACAGGCGUUUAGUAAUGAUAAUGUGCCACACAGCUGUUUAGUAACGAUAAUGUGCAACACAGGUGUUUAGUACUGAUGGAAUGGUUAUUAAUGUGUCACACAGGUGUUUAGUACUGAUGGAAUGGUUAUUAAUGUGCCACACAGGUGUUUAGUAAUGAUAAUGUGCCACACAGGUGUUUAGUAACGAUAAUGUGCAACACAGCUGUUUAGUAAUGAUGGAAUGGUUAUUAAUGUGUCACACAGGUGUUUAGUAAUAAUAAUGUGCAACACAGGUGUUUAGUAAUGAUAAUGUGCCACACAGAUGUUUAGUAAUGAUAAUGUGCAACACAGGUGUUUAGUAACGAUAAUGUGCAACACAGCUGUUUAGUAAUGAUGGAAUGGUUAUUAAUGUGUCACACAGGUGUUUAGUAAUGAUAAUGUGCAACACAGGCGUUUAGUAAUAAUAAUGUGCAACACAGGUGUUUAGUAAUGAUGGAAUGGUUAUUAAUGUGUCACACAGGUGUUUAGUAAUGAUAAUGUGCAACACAGGUGUUUAGUAACGAUAAUGUGCAACACAGCUGUUUAGUAAUGAUGGAAUGGUUAU